rnacentral:rRNA from 1 species
GAGUUUGAUCCUGGCUCAGGAUGAACGCUGGCGGCGUGCUUAACACAUGCAAGUCGAGCGAGAAUUUUUAAUCGGAAGCUUCGGCCGAUUUUCUUACUAGACAGCGGCGGACGGGUGAGUAACGCGUGGGUAACCUACCUUGUACUGGGGGAUAACGUUUUGAAAAGAACGCUAAUACCGCAUAAGCGCACAGCAUCACAUGAUGCAGUGUGAAAAACUCCGGUGGUACAAGAUGGACCCGCGUCUGAUUAGCUAGUUGGUGAGAUAAAAGCUCACCAAGGCGACGAUCAGUAGCCGACCUGAGAGGGUGAUCGGCCACAUUGGGACUGAGACACGGCCCAAACUCCUACGGGAGGCAGCAGUGAGGAAUAUUGCACAAUGGGGGAAACCCUGAUGCAGCGACGCCGCGGGAAGGAUGAAGGUUUUCGGAUCGUAACCUUCUAUCAGCAGGGAAGAUAGUGACUGUACCUGACUAAGAAGCCCCGGCUAACUACGUGCCAGCAGCCGCGGUAAUACGUAGGGUGCGAGCGUUAAUCGGAAUUACUGGGCGUAAAGCGUGCGCAGGCGGUUUGAUAAGACAGAUGUGAAAUCCCCGAGCUCAACUUGGGGACUGCAUUUGUGACUGUUAGACUAGAGUAUAGCAGAGGGGGGGAGAAUUCCACGUGUAGCAGUGAAAUGCGUAGAUAUGUGGAGGAAUACCGAUGGCGAAGGCAGCCCCCUGGGUUAAUACUGACGCUCAUGUACGAAAGCGUGGGUAGCGAACAGGAUUAGAUACCCUGGUAGUCCACGCCCUAAACGAUGUCAACUAGUUGUUGGAGAAGGAGACUUCUUUAGACGUAGCUAACGCGUGAAGUUGACCGCCUGGGUAGUACGGUCGCAAGAUUAAAACUCAAAGGAAUUGACGGGGACCCGCACAAGCGGUGGAUUAUGUGGAUUAAUUCGAUGCAACGCGAAAAACCUUACCUCCCCUUGACAUGCCAAGAAUUGCCAGAGAUGGCUUGAUGCCCGAAAGGGAACCUGGACACAGUGCUGCAUGACUGUCGUCAGCUCGUGUCGUGAGAUGUUGGGUAGUCCCGCACGAGCGCACCCUUGCAUAGUGCUACGAAAGGUCACUCUAAUGGGACUGCAGUGACAAUCGAGAAGGUGGGGAUGACGUCAGUCUCAUGGCUAUGACAGCUUCCAACGUCUAUCAAAUGGUUCGGUUACAAAAGGGCUC